GAUGAACGCUGGCGGCGUGCCUAAUACAUGCAAGUCGAGCGAACAGAUGAGGAGCUUGCUCCUCUGACGUUAGCGGCGGACGGGUGAGUAACACGUGGAUAACCUACCUAUAAGACUGGGAUAACUUCGGGAAACCGGAGCUAAUACCGGAUAAUAUAUUGAACCGCAUGGUUCAAUAGUGGAAGACGGUUUUGCUGUCACUUAUAGAUGGAUCCGCGCCGCAUUAGCUAGUUGGUAAGGUAACGGCUUACCAAGGCAACGAUGCGUAGCCGACCUGAGAGGGUGAUCGGCCACACUGGAACUGAGACACGGUCCAGACUCCUACGGGAGGCAGCAGUAGGGAAUCUUCCGCAAUGGGCGAAAGCCUGACGGAGCAACGCCGCGUGAGUGAUGAAGGUCUUCGGAUCGUAAAACUCUGUUAUUAGGGAAGAACAAAUGUGUAAGUAACUAUGCACGUCUUGACGGUACCUAAUCAGAAAGCCACGGCUAACUACGU
rnacentral:rRNA from 1 species